UACGUAGGCAGCGAGCGUUGUUCGGAGUUACUGGGCGUAAAGGGUGUGUAGGCGGUUCUUUAAGUUUGGUGUGAAAUCUCCCGGCUCAACCGGGAGGGUGCGCCGAGUACUGAGGGACUAGAGUGCGGGAGAGGAAAGUGGAAUUCCUGGUGUAGCGGUGAAAUGCGUAGAUAUCAGGAGGAACACCGGUGGUGUAGACGGCUUUCUGGACCGUAACUGACGCUGAGACACGAAAGCGUGGGUAGCAAACAGG
rnacentral:rRNA from 1 species